GAUGAACGCUGGCGGCGUGCCUAAUACAUGCCAGUCGAGCGAACAGACGAGGAGCUUGCUCCUCUGACGUUAGCGGCGGACGGGUGAGUAACACGUGGAUAACCUACCUAUAAGACUGGGAUAACUUCGGGAAACCGGAGCUAAUACCGGAUAAUAUAUUGAACCGCAUGGUUCAAUAGUGAAAGACGGUUUUGCUGUCACUUAUAGAUGGAUCCGCGCCGCAUUAGCUAGUUGGUAAGGUAACGGCUUACCAAGGCAACGAUGCGUAGCCGACCUGAGAGGGUGAUCGGCCACACUGGAACUGAGACACGGUCCAGACUCCUACGGGAGGCAGCAGUAGGGAAUCUUCCGCAAUGGGCGAAAGCUUGACGGAGCAGCGCCGCGUGAGUGAUGAAGGUCUUCGGAUCGUAAAACUCUGUUAUUAGGGAAGAACAAAUGUGUAAGUAACUAUGCACGUCUUGACGGUACCUAAUCAGAAAGCCACGGCUAACUACGUG
rnacentral:rRNA from 1 species